GGGGAUUUAGCUCAGCGGCAUAAGCACCUGCCUUGAAAGCAGGCAGUCGUAAAGUCGUUAGUUCGAUCCCCG
rnacentral:tRNA from 1 species